CUCAGACUCUACUGCCAUCACAGUCAACAAUAGGACCUGAAACACCAGGAACCAAACCUUCAACAACAUUAGCACCACGAAAGACCAAAAGACCAGGUCGUCGCCCCCGCCCCCGUCCCCGCCCUAAAACCACACCUAGUCCAGAAGUGCCCAAGUCCAAACCCGCUCUGGAACCUGCCACGAUACAACCGGAGCCCUUGGUGCCCACAACUGUCUCUGAGCCUGUUCCAUUUGAAACUGAAGCUCCCUCAAUGACCAUAG
rnacentral:lncRNA from 1 species